rnacentral:rRNA from 1 species
AUAAUAUCUACGGAUGAAAGAUGGCCUCUAUUUAUAUGCUAUCGCUAAAGGAUUGGCCUAUGUCGCAUUAGCUUGUUGGUAAGGUAACGGCUUACCAAGGCGACGAUGCGUAGCUGGUCUGAGAGGAUGAUCAGCCACACUGGGACUGAGACACGGCCCAGACUCCUACGGGAGGCAGCAGUGGGGAAUUUUGCACAAUGGAGGAAACUCUGAUGCAGCAACGCCGCGUGAGUGAAGAAGGCCCUUGGGUCGUAAAGCUCUUUC